UACGAAGGGGGCUAGCGUUGCUCGGAAUCACUGGGCGUAAAGCGCACGUAGGUGGGUCGUUAAGUUGAGGGUGAAAUCCCAGGGCUCAACCCUGGAACUGCCUUCAAUACUGGCGACCUUCGAGUCCGGGAGAGGUGAGUGGAACUGCGAGUGUAGAGGUGAAAUUCGUAGAUAUUCGCAAAGAACACCAGUGGCGAAGGCGGCUCACUGGCCCGGUACUG
rnacentral:rRNA from 1 species